rnacentral:tRNA from 1 species
ACCUGGCUGGCCCAGUCGGUAGAGCAUGAGUCUCUCGAUCUCAGGGUUGUAAGUUCGAGCCCCACACCAAGUG